AUUUAAACAAGCUCCCAAGAAGGCAACAGGGACCCACUGUACCCCAAGAGGCACUCCAAGUUUCCUUCAGAGAGGAAAAAGAGAGACGGGGCUCCUAGAACCCACUCUCCCCAAAGGCGAGUUUCCCAGGCGCCGCUCGUGCUGUUGCUGGAAAGCGAGCUCGCUGUAGACCGGCCGCGACACCAUGUAGCUGCAGCUGUACUCGGGGAGCUGCGGCGGCUCCGACCUGCCGCCUGGCGCUGCCAUGACCUGCGAGCCAGAGGACAGCGAGGAGGGAGGACACGCGACAUGAUCUCAUUCUGUUGCCCAGGGUGAGUGCAGUGGCACCUUCAUGGCUCAUUGCAGUCUCGAUCUCCCAGGCUCAAGCGAUCCUCCCACCUCAGCCUCCCAAAGUGCUGGGAUUGCAGGCGUGAGCCACCUUGCCCAGCCCAUUCUGCAAUCUUCGGAAGGAAGUCACUAUAUGCAGCCUAUGCUUGAGGAGUGGGGAGUUGAAUUCCACAUCCUUGAGGGCAGAAUACCUAAAUAAAUUAUUUGGAAUUCUUCU
rnacentral:lncRNA from 1 species